GCGGAGUCCAUUGACAAUGGCCUCUAACUUUAAGAAGGCAAGCAAGGCAUCAUCUGCCCAGCAAAAGAGGAUGAGUCCUAAACCAGAGCUUACUGAAGAGCAGAAACAGGAAAUCCGGGAAGUUUUUGAUCUCUUUGAUGCUGAUGGAACUGGGACCAUAGAUGUUAAGGAACUUAAGGUGGCAAUGAGGGCACUGGGCUUUGAACCCAAGAAAGAAGAGAUAAAGAAAAUGGUAAGUGAUAUCGAUAAGGAAGGGACAGGAAAAAUGAACUUCAGUGACUUUUUGACUGUGAUGAUUCAGAAACUGUCUGAGAAAGAUACCAAAGAAGAAAUUCUGAAAGCUUUCAAGCUCUUCAAUGAUGAUGAAACUGGGAAGAUAUCAUUCAAAAAUCUAAAACGUGUGGCCAAGGAGUUGGAUGAGAACCUCACUGAUGAGGAGCUACAGGAAAUGAUCAAUGAGACUGAUCGAGAUGGAGAUGGAGAAGCCAAUGGGCAGGAGUUCCUGCGCAUCAUGAAAAAGACCAGCCUUUACUAAAAUCAGUCUCUU